rnacentral:rRNA from 1 species
GUAGUUAGCCGGGGCUUCCUCCUUGGCUACCGUCACUUUCUUCGUCACCAAGGACAGAGGUUUACAACCCGAAAGCCUUCUUCCCUCACGCGGCGUUGCUGGGUCAGGCUUGCGCCCAUUGCCCAAUAUUCCCCACUGCUGCCUCCCGUAGGAGUCUGGACCGUGUCUCAGUUCCAGUGUGGCCGAUCAGCCUCUCAGCUCGGCUACCCAUCGCGGACUUGGUGGGCCGUUACCCCGCAACUAUCUAAUGGGACGCGAACCCCUCCUUCUGCGGAUUGCUCCUUUGACCUCAUCCCGAUGCCGGGUCGUGGUCUUAUGCGGUAUUAGCACUUGUUUCCAGGUGUUAUCCCCCGUCAAAACGGUCAGGUUGUUCACGCGUUACUCACCCGUUCGCCACUCAGUUACCAACCGAAAUCGAUAACUCCGUUCGACUUGCAUGUGUUAGGCACGCCGCCAGCGUUCGUCCUGAGCCAGAAUCGAACCCUGA